CCAGUUUGCAGUUUGCAGGGAUGGUCUAACACCUCCCAUGACGGCGGGAUCUGUGGAUUGUUCUUGGCUGAAACUAAAACCGGGUCCCCUUUUUAUAACCUGUAUUCAUUUCACAGACAUGAUCCUCAGUGCUGUUGCCUGUAAAGAAAGCGCAGUGAUGCCAACCCUCAAGAUUAUUUACAAGGCGAAGAGCCCAUCCACAGGGAAAAUCUCUGCCAGACUGAAGCGCUCCGCCACCUCUGCUCUUGUGCUUAUUUGCCGGACAACCUCACAGGCUGGUGCAACACUCUCCCUCUUUUCAGCCACAGGACGAAAGAGUCACGCUCCCAUACGUGACACCACCUCCAGGGAGAGCAGAGUUUUGAGCGAUGCCUGGUGCACUAGUUAGGACUUCACCUCUUCUCCCCGGUUGAAGGACGCCUGUGAGCUGGACUCAUGGCUACUUCGGAUUUGAACUGCAACUCUUUCCCAAGUCUUCGGCCUGCCGGCCUCCUCCGUCAGAUUUUGGGCUCAUCAAACCACCACAAUCACACGAGCCAAU
rnacentral:lncRNA from 1 species